rnacentral:misc_RNA from 1 species
GAUGAAGAACGCAGCGAAAUGCGAUAAGUAAUGUGAAUUGCAGAAUUCAGUGAAUCAUCGAAUCUUUGAGCGCACAUUGCGCCCGCCAGUAUUCUGGCGGGCAUGCCUGUUCGAGCGUCAUUUCAACCCUCAAGACCCCUUCGGGGGACUUGGUGUUGGGGACCGGCACAGGGGCCUGCCUGCUUGUCUUGCAGCGCCCUCGCCGCCCCCGAAAUGAAUUGGCGGCCUCGUCGCGGCCUCCCCUGCGUAGUAGCACAACCUCGCAACGGGAACGUGACGGCGGCCACUGCCGUAAAACAACCCCAAUUUUAUUAGAGUUGACCUCGAAUCAGGUAGGAAUACCCGCUGAACUUAAGCAUAUCAAUAAGCGGAGGA